UACAGAGGUCCCGAGCGUUGUUCGGAUUCACUGGGCGUAAAGGGUGCGUAGGUGGCUUGAAAAGUUUGAUGUGAAAGCUCAGGGCUUAACCCUGAAAUGGCAUUGAAUACUGUCGAGCUGGAGGUUUGGAGGGGGAACUGGAAUUCUUGGUGUAGCAGUGAAAUGCGUAGAUAUCAAGAGGAACACCAGUGGCGAAGGCGAGUCCCUGGACAACACCUGACACUGAGGCACGAAAGCUAGGGGAGCAAACAGG
rnacentral:rRNA from 1 species